AUGAAGAAGAUCUGGGUUCCCAAAAGCUGUCUUGAAAAUCUUCCUGUGAAUGUUGUCAUGACACCACCAGGGAAGAAGACAAACCCCAGACAAAGGGAAAUUGUACUCAAACCCCAGACAAAGGGAAAUUGUACUCAAACUUAUGAAUAUGAGCGUGUGUCUUCAAACGGCAAUGUUCAUAGUACUAAGAACUUUUUUGCUUAUUCAUAUAACAAAAUGGCAUUGUUGAGCAAAGUUGCUGAAGCCUUUAUGGAACCUGAAUGGAUUCAAGCCAUGCAAGAAGAACUUCAACAGUUCAAGCUGAAUAUUGUUUGGGAACUUGUCAAGCGCCCUGACCCUCGGCUCAAGGUUUGA
rnacentral:rRNA from 1 species